UCCCUAACCUGCGUCCCCAGGCUCGGUACCCUGGGUCCCUCCUUCGGCAGGACCUACUCCGCCGCAGCAGCGCCCUGAUGACUGCCACAUUUCAGCACACCCCACCCCACCCUAACCCCCCCGACCCUGGGCCACCAGCCUGGCUGGGCCCUGUCUCCCCAAAAGGCGCAAACCUACCCACUCCCAGCUCGGAAAGCUGUGGCCCCCGCCGCCACGACGCCCCCGGUUCGGCUGGCUCUCCACUCCACUCCGCUCCCCACGCGCAGACGCCCCACCUCCUCCCACUCUCCGGCCUUGACUCCGCCCCAGCACCCCCUUUCCCCGGCUCGCUCCAUCUGGCUUUCUGCCGCCUCCCGCUCAGCCUGCCGGUGUCCAGAAGUCUACAACUCCCAGGACCCCCUCGCCCAAGCACCUCCUGAAGUUGGAGCAGGAAGGGCUAAGGAAGGAAUUCUGCCGCUUGCCUCAGACAAGGGAGAGCUCCUGCCUCAGCUUUUGGAGCCUGGAAGGCCUGGGCUGUCAGACACGAUCCCAGUGGUGAGGAUCAUUCUGGAGUCACAGCCUUCCCCAAGCUAACCAGUAGAGGCUAAGAGUUCACCUGUCUAGGGGCUGGAGACACGGCUCAGCAGUGAAGAGCACUGACUGCUCUUCCAGAGGACCCCGGGUUCAAUUCCCAGCACCCACAGAGCAGGUCACAACUGUCUACAACUCCAAGAUCUGACACCCUCACACAGACAUGCAUGCAGGCAAAACACCAAUGCACACUAAAUAAAAAUAAAUGAAUUAUUUAAAAAAAAAAAAAAA